rnacentral:rRNA from 1 species
UCAAGCAAGGAAGGGCGUACGGCGAAUGCCUGGCCACUCAAUACUGAAGAAGGACGUGCCAAACUGCGAAAAGCGACGGGGAGCUGUUAGGGAGCGAAGAUCCAUCGAUAUCCGAAUGGGGGAACCCGGCCGAUAGAAGAUCGGUCAUCAUAUUCUGAAUCCAUAGGGAUAUGAGAGGUACGCGGGGAACUGAAACAUCUAAGUACCCGCAGGAGAAGAAAAUAAGAAUGAUUCCCUGAGUAGCGGCGAGCGAAAGGGGACCAGCCCAAACCGUCCCGAGGGACGGGGUUGAAGGACUGCCAAAGACGAAUGGAGCAUAGUGGAACGCGAUUGGAAGCGCGGCCGAAGAGGGUGCAAGCCCCGUAGACGACAUGCGAAAGGAAGCAGGCAGGAUCCUGAGUACGGCGAGACACGAGGAAUCUUGUCGGAAGCAGGCGGGACCAUCCGCCAAGGCUAAAUAUAGUUGAGUGAGCGAUAGUGGACCAGUACCGUGAGGGAAAGGUGAAAAGAACCGCGGGAGCGGAGUGAAAGAGAACCUGAAACCGUAUGCCUACAAGAAGUCAGAGCCCGUUGAAGGGUGAUGGCGUGCCUUUUGUAGAAUGAACCGGCGAGUUGCGAUGAGAUGCGAGGUUAAGCGGGAAAACGCGGAGCCGCAGCGAAAGCGAGUCUGAAUAGGGCGGAAGUAGAACAUCGCAGACCCGAAACCGGGUGAUCUAGCCAUGAGCAGGUUGAAGUUCAGGUGAAACUGAAUGGAGGACCGAACCGACCAUCGUUGAAAAGCUGGCGGAUGACUUGUGGCUAGGGGAGAAAUUCCAAUCGAACCCGGAGAUAGCUGGUUCUCCCCGAAAUAGCUUUAGGGCUAGCGUCGUGAAGAACCUGAUCGGAGGUAGAGCACUGAAUGAGUGAUGGCCCCAUCCCGGGGUACUGAACUCAAUCAAACUCCGAAUGCCGAACAGGAUGCACGGCAGUCAGACCGUGAGUGAUAAAGUCCAUGGUCAAGAGGGAAACAGCCCAGAUCGCCAGUUAAGGUCCCAAAAUUCCGGCCAAGUGGAAAAGGAAGUGGGGAUGCACAGACAACUAGGAGGUUGGCUCAGAAGCAGCCAUCCUUGAAAGAGUGCGUAACAGCUCACUAGUCGAGUGACCCUGCGCCGAAAAUGUACCGGGGCUAAGCCGGAUACCGAAACUGCGGAUAUCUAAGGAUGUGGUAGGGGAGCGUUGCAUGCAGGAAGAAGCCGUACCGAGAGGAGCGGUGGACCGCAUGGAAGCGAGAAUGCCGGUGUGAGUAGCGAGAUGAAGGUGAGAAUCCUUCACACCGAAAGCCCAAGGAUUCCAGGGGAAGGUUCGUCCGCCCUGGGUAAGUCGGGACCUAACGCGAGGCCGAAAGGCGUAGCGGAUGGAAAGCAGGCAGAUAUUCCUGCACCCGGAUGUAGAGCGAAGGAGUGACGGAGACGGGAAGCAUGACCCUCUUAACGGAUUGAGGGCGAAGCGAGGUAGCGGAUGACCAGGCAAAUCCGGUCAUCGGAACGUGAAGACGUGACAGGGAAGCGAAAGAGCGAUCGAGUAGCGAAGACAUGCGGACCGGCUUCCAGGAAAAGCUUCUAGCAAUGUAUGUCCGGCCCGUACCAAAACCGACACAGGUGGGCAGGGAGAGUAUCCCGAGGUGAGCGAGAGAACUGUUGCCAAGGAACUCGGCAAAAUGACUCCGUAAGUUAGCGAGAAGGAGUGCUCGAAAGAGCCGCAGUGAAGAGGCCCAAGCGACUGUUUAACUAAAACACAGCUCUCUGCGAAGCCGCAAGGCGAAGUAUAGAGGGUGACACCUGCCCGGUGCUGGAAGGUUAAGAGGAUCUGUGAAUCGAAAGAGGAAGCAGUGAGUUGAAGCCCCAGUGAACGGCGGCCGUAACUAUAACGGUCCUAAGGUAGCGAAAUUCCUUGUCAGGUAAGUUCUGACCCGCACGAAA